rnacentral:tRNA from 1 species
GCCCGGGUGAUGAAAUGGUAGCCAUAGCAGACUUAAAAUUUGCAGAGCUUUAGCUCGUGCGGGUUCGAGUCCCGCCCUGGGCA